GACGAACGCUGGCGGCGUGCUUAACACAUGCAAGUCGAACGGAAAGGCCCUGCUUUUGUGGGGUGCUCGAGUGGCGAACGGGUGAGUAACACGUGAGUAACCUGCCCUUGACUUUGGGAUAACUUCAGGAAACUGGGGCUAAUACCGGAUAGGAGCUCCUGCUGCAUGGUGGGGGUUGGAAAGUUUCGGCGGUUGGGGAUGGACUCGCGGCUUAUCAGCUUGUUGGUGGGGUAGUGGCUUACCAAGGCUUUGACGGGUAGUCGGCCUGAGAGGGUGAACGGCCACAUUGGGACUGAGAUACGACCCAGACUCCUACGGGAGGCAGCGGUGGGGAAUAUGGCACAAUGGGCGGAAGCCUGAUGCAGCAACGCCGCGUGCGGGAUGACGGCCUUCGGGUUGUAAACCGCUUUCGCCUGUGACGAAGCGUGAGUGACGGUAAUGGGUAAAGAAGCACCGGCUAACUACGUG
rnacentral:rRNA from 1 species